UAACGCGUGAGGAACCUACCUUUCAGAGGGGGACAACAGCUGGAAACGGCUGCUAAUACCGCAUAACACAUAGGUGUCGCAUGGCAUUUAUGUCAAAGAUUUAUCGCUGAGAGAUGGCCUCGCGUCUGAUUAGCUAGUUGGUAGGGUAACGGCCUACCAAGGCGACGAUCAGUAGCCGGACUGAGAGGUUGGCCGGCCACAUUGGGACUGAGAUACGGCCCAGACUCCUACGGGAGGCAGCAG
rnacentral:rRNA from 1 species